rnacentral:lncRNA from 1 species
AUCCUUUCCAUUCGUUGGUAUGCACUUUUCUUCACUGGGUGUCAGUUGAGAAGCAUAAAUGUUAAAUGUCUCGUUUUCAUUGCAAAGAACAUUGCCCACAUUCUAGAAUGAAAAGUCGUGAAUAAAGAUAAACAGCUUUUUCACGUUUUCUUAAUGGACCAUCAGAGCCAGGCUUCCAGCAACAUUGCAUUCUAGAAUUCUUGGAAACUACUCACUCACUGAAGAAUCUGUUUCUGGAACUUCCCCGUCAACACAAGGUGCUACAAUGACCUAGAAAGGAUAUUAUUCUUCAAAACUGAGAACCUGAGGCACAAAAGAGAGAAAACAUCUGAGCUACAUGAAAAGCACCGAUGUGUAUACAGUUGGUGUAAGAAGAUAAGUGGAAUAGCAACAGAUAUUCUAUGGAUUUGCCAUUGUAAAUGUAGACAAAGCCUCAGAUGAGGCGGAUGAAAGUGACGAAUGGGGAUGAUACGCUGAAGGUCUGCACAAAGAAUGAGAAGAUUUUUGCUCAACUGCCUUUCAAGUUUGAGUAAGAUUUCAUUGAAUGUGUUAUAGAAGAACUAAGGCCAAAGCCCAUGUCAUUGCUAGAGUCCUCAGAUUCUUCUCUUUGUUUCCCCUCACUCCUCUCAUCUGGAAAGCAGUGGCAGAGGGGCAAAGUCCUACAUGAGCCCUUCCAUGACAGAUGAGGCUGCUAACUUCACGUUGUCCAGGGCCUUUACAAACAAACCAGAAAGAAGAAAGCAGAGGUUCAACCAGAUUUUAUACAUUAGAAAAAAGUACAUGGCACAAAAAUAAAACAAUGGUAUGAUAGUAGAAUAGAAUUACCAGCAGAUGCCUGGAAAUGGCUUUUGAAAAUGCCAUGUAAACAUACAUAAGAGACUUGUGUGGAUGGACAAUGUGUUCUGCAGAGGAAUCACA